UAAAAGUUUUAUUCUAGCUAAAGAAUUCUCUGUCAGAUUGUUUCACAUGUUAGUAAUUAUGAGGUAGAUAAGGAAGUCUUAAAGAUUCUGGAAUAUUAUGGUAUUCGCAGUGUUCUAUAUUGGUGUGUCAAGGCAACUUGGAACCAGUAAUUUUGUUAAUUCCGGCAAAACUCGUGCCAGCCGCCGCGGUUACACGAAGGGGGUAAGAGUAUUUUAUUGGUUUGUAAUUAGUUUUAAGGUGUGGUUAGAAGAAAGGAUUUGUUAGGUGAAAUUUUAAACCUUUAGUUAAUCAAAUUAAGGGUGAACGAAGUUAUGAAGUUUAGAAAAUAAACUGGGAUUAGAUACCCCACUAUUCUAAAAGUUAAAAUAAAACCAGAGUAGUAAUAGUUAUGUUCUUGAAACUCAAAGAAUUUGGCGGUGUUUUAAUCCGGUCAGAGGAACCUGUCCCGUAAUCGAUAAUCCACGUUUAUUUAACUUAGUUUUGUAUUCAGCUUGUAUACCGCCGUCAAAAGAGUGAUUCGAGAGAAUACCCUCAGGAUUUCUGAUUAGGAAAGAUGUCAGGUCAAGGUGCAGUUUAUAGCUAAGGGGAGAUGGGUUACAAUAAUUUUAAUUACAUGGAUGUUUUUUUGUAAAAGAAGAUUGAAGGUGGAUUUGGAUGUAAUAAGGGGAAAUGAAUCUUUAUGAUAGCGGCUCUAAAACAAGCACACAUCGCCCGUCGCUCUCGUUUUUUAAGGCGAGAUAAGUCGUAACAUAGUAGAUGUACCGGAAGGUGUCUCUAGAAAGU
rnacentral:ncRNA from 1 species